rnacentral:rRNA from 1 species
AUUGAACGCUGGCGGCAGGCCUAACACAUGCAAGUCGAGCGAGCGGCGGACGGGUGAGUAAUGUAUGGGGAUCUGCCCGAUAGAGGGGGAUAACUACUGGAAACGGUGGCUAUUACCGCAUACUAUCGGAUGAAACCAUAAGGGACUAGCUAGUAGGUGGGGGAAAGGCUCACCUAGGAGACGGGCUCUAGCUGGUCUGAGAGGAUGAUCAGCGACACUGGGACUAAGACACGGUCCAGACUCCUACGGGAGGCAGCGGUGGGGAAUAUUGCGCAAUGGGCGAAAGCCUGAUGCAGCCAUGCCGCGUGUGUGAAGAAUGCCUUAGGGUUGUAAAGUACUUUCAGCGGGGAUGCGUUGCCCGUAGAAGAAGCACCGGCUAACUACGGGCCAGCCGCCGCGGUAAUAC